UACAGAGGGGGCAAGCGUUAUUCGGAAUUAUUGGGCGUAAAGGGCGCGUAGGCGGCCUGGCAAGUGGAUGGUGAAAUCCCUCGGCUUAACCGAGGAACUGCCGUCCAAACUGCUUGGCUUGAGACCGGGAGAGGUGAGUGGAAUUCCCAGUGUAGCGGUGAAAUGCGUAGAUAUUGGGAGGAACACCAGUGGCGAAGGCGGCUCACUGGACCGGAACUGACGCUGAGGCGCGAAAGCUAGGGGAGCAAACAGG
rnacentral:rRNA from 1 species